rnacentral:misc_RNA from 1 species
GAAACCUGUCAUGAUGAAGCAGAAGCGUCUUCUGUUGAUCCUCUGGAACAUGAAAUCACUGAUAUUGCACUAAUGAUGGCAGUGGUAUACUCUAUGGUAAAAAGUGACUACACAAUGCAGGAAAAGAUCGUUUCUUCCCUUAACCUCACUUCACCUUCCGGAGAACUGGAGAGCUACUCCAGCAUGUGGUCUUUGCGCCCCUACAUAGACGAUGAAAUCAUGCACAAAGCUUGGAAGCUUGUGCGUUAACUCGUUCUCUCUUUACUGUUUCUUGUUGGUGAAAGAUCAUCA